GUUGCGCCCUAACAGUAUAACUUUGCAACGAGUGCUUUUUCACAUUUUAUCGAAGAAAGCGUCAAACCUAAUUAUAUUGCUCUAUAAUGCCCAGAGAGUGUAAAUUUGGAACGAAUCGAUAUCAACACUCACAAAAAUAAAAACCGGAACAACAUUUGAGCACUCAGUUGUGUGCCCUUAACAGGUAUAACUUUUGCAACCAGUACUUUUUCUUCAUUUUAUCGAAAGUAAUGCGUCAAAACUAAUUUAUAUUAUGUCUCUUUUACGCCCAGAAGAGAGUAAAUCUGGAACGGAAUCGAUGUCAACGCUCACAAGAACAAAAACUGGAACAAAAUUAGGCUACUUAGUUGCGCCCUAACAGUAUAACUUUGCAACGAGUGCUUUUUCACAUUUUAUCGAAGAAAGCGUCAAACCUAAUUAUAUUGCUCUAUAAUGCCCAGAGAGUGUAAAUUUGGAACGAAUCGAUAUCAACACUCACAAAAAUAAAAACCGGAACAACAUUUGAGUACUCAGUUGCGCCUUAACAGUAUAACUUUGCAACCAGUACUUUUUCUCAUUUUAUCGAAGUAAGCGUCAAACCUAAUUAUAUUAUUCUAUUAUGCCCAGAGAGUGUAAAUUUGGAACGAUUCGAUGUCAACGCUCACAAGAACAAAAACCGGAACAACAUUAGACUCUUCAGUUGCACCCUAACAGUAUAACUUUGCAACGCGUACUUUUUCUCGUUUUAUCGAAGAAAGCGUAAAAUCUAAUUAUAUUGUUGUAUUAUGCCCAGAUAGUGUAAAUUUGGAACGAAUCGAUGUCAACGCUCACAAGAACAAAAACCGGAACAACAUUAGAGCACUCAGUUCCGCCAUAACAGUAUAACUUUGCAACGAGUGCUUUUUUUCAUUUUAUCGAAGAAAGCGUAAAACCUAGUUAUAUUAUUCUAUUAUGCCCAGAGAGUGUAAAUUUGGAACGAAUCGAUUUCAACGCUCACAAGAACAAAAACCGGAACAACAUUAGACUACUCAGUUGCGCCCUAACAGUAUAACUUUGCAACGAGUACUUUUUCUCAUUUAUCGAAGAAAGCGUCAAACCUAAUUAUAUUGUUCUAUCUUGCCCAGAGAGUGUAAAUUUGGAACGAAUCGAUGUCAAAGCUCACAAGAACAAAAAUCGGAUCAAUAUUAGACUACUCAGUUGCGCCCUAACAGUAUAACUUUGCAACGAGUGCUUUUUCUCAUUUUAUCGAAGAAAGCGUAAAUCUAAUUAUAUUGUUCUAUUAUACCUAGAGAGUGUAAAAUUGGAACGAACUGAUGUGAGCGCUCACAAGAACAAAAACCGGAUCAAUAUUAGACUACUCAGUUCCGCCCUAACAGUAUAACUUUGCAACGAGUACUUUUUCUCAUUUAUCGAAGAAAGCGUCAAACCUAAUUAUAUUGUUCUAUUAUGCCCAGAGAGUGUAAAUUUGGAACGAAUCGAUUUUAAAGCUCACAAGAACAAAAACCGGAACAAUAUUAGACAACUCAGUUGCGCCCGAACAGUAUAACUUUGCAACGAGUGCUUUUUCUCAUUUUAUCGAAGAAAGCGUCAAACCUCAUUAUAUUGUUCUAUUAUGCCGAGAGAGUGUAAAUUUGGAACGAAUCGAUGUCAACGCUCACAAGAACAAAAACCGGAACAACAUUAGACUCUUCAGUUGCACCCUAACAGUAUAACUUUGCAACGCGUACUUUUUCUCGUUUUAUCGAAGAAAGCGUAAAAUCUAAUUAUAUUGUUGUAUUAUGCCCAGAUAGUGUAAAUUUGGAACGAAUCGAUGUCAACGCUCACAAGAACAAAAACCGGAACAACAUUAGAGCACUCAGUUCCGCCAUAACAGUAUAACUUUGCAACGAGUGCUUUUUUUCAUUUUAUCGAAGAAAGCGUAAAACCUAGUUAUAUUAUUCUAUUAUGCCCAGAGAGUGUAAAUUUGGAACGAAUCGAUUUCAACGCUCACAAGAACAAAAACCGGAACAACAUUAGACUACUCAGUUGCGCCCUAACAGUAUAACUUUGCAACGAGUACUUUUUCUCAUUUUAUCGAAGAAAGCGUAAAAUCUAAUUAUAUUGUUCUAUUAUUCCCAGAUAGUGUAAAUUUGGAACGAAUUGAUGUCAACGCUCACAAGAACAAAAACCGGAACAACUUUAGACUACUCAGUUGCGCCUAACAGUAUAACUUUGCAACGAGUACUUUUUCUCAUUUUAUCGAAGAAAGCGUCAAAACUAAUUAUAUUGUUCUAUUACGCCCAGAGAGUGUAAAUUUGGAACGAAUUGAUGUCAACGCUCACAAGAACAAAAACUGGAACAAAAUUAGGCUACUUAGUUGCGCCCUAACAGUAUAACUUUGCAACGAGUGCUUUUUCACAUUUUAUCGAAGAAAGCGUCAAACCUAAUUAUAUUGCUCUAUAAUGCCCAGAGAGUGUAAAUUUGGAACGAAUCGAUAUCAACACUCACAAAAAUAAAAACCGGAACAACAUUUGAGUACUCAGUUGCGCCUUAACAGUAUAACUUUGCAACCAGUACUUUUUCUCAUUUUAUCGAAGUAAGCGUCAAACCUAAUUAUAUUAUUCUAUUAUGCCCAGAGAGUGUAAAUCUGGAACGAAUCGAUGUCAACGCUCACAAGAACAAAAACCGGAACAACAUUAGACUACUCAGUUGCGCCAUAACAAUAUAACUUUGCAACGAGUACUUUUUCUUAUUUUAUCGAAGAAAGCGUAAAUCCUAAUUAUAUUAUUCUAUUAUGCCCAGAGAGAGUAAAUUUAGAACCAAUCGAUGUCAACGCUCACAAGAACAAAAAUCGGAACAACAAUAGACUACUCAGUUGCACCCUAACAGUAUAACUUUACAACGAGUGCUUUUUCUCAUUUUAUCGAAGAAGGCGUCAAACCUAAUUAUAUUGUUCUAUUAUUCCGAGAAAGUGUAAAUUUGGAACGAAUCGAUGUCAAAGCUCACAAGAACAAAAACCGGAACAAUAUUGGACUACUCAGUUGCGCCCUAACAGUAUAACUUUGCAACGAGUGCUUUUUCCCAUUUUAUCGAAGAAAGCGUAAAUGCUAAUUAUAUUGUUCUAUUAUGCCCAGAGAGUGUAAAUUUGGAACGAACCGAUGUCAGCGCUCACAAGAACAAAAACCGGAACAACAUUAGACUAAUCAGUUGCGCCCGAACAGUAUAAUUUUGCAACGAGUGAUUUUUCUCAUUUUAUCGAAGAAAGCGUCAAACCUAAUUAUAUUGUUCUAUUAUGCCCAGAGAGUGUAAAUUUGGAACGAAUCGAUGUCAACGCUCACAUGAACAAAAAUCGGGACAACAUUAGACUACUGAGUUGCGCCCUAACAGUAUAAAUUUGCAACGAGACCUUUUUCUCAUUUUAUCGAAGAAAGCAUCAAACCUAAUUAUAUUGUUCUAUUAUGCCCAGACAGUGUAAUUUUGGAACGAAUCGAUGUCAACGCUCACAAGAAUAAAAACCGGAACAAC
rnacentral:lncRNA from 1 species